rnacentral:tRNA from 1 species
AUCUUUCUAGUAUCAAACUAAUACAACGGACUUCCAAUCCCUUAAUCUUGGUUAAAAUCCAAGGAAAGAUA